GUAAGCCUGCUAAUUUGCAUCUCCUCUCCAACUAAAGUCAUAUUAAAAGGUUCCCCAGCAACAUUCUAAUCAUGAAGGUGUCACUUUCCUGAUAAUCUGUCUUUGAUUAAUGAACCAGAAGGUUGGGAGUGGCUGAGUGUGCAUGUGUGUGUUUUUGUGUGAGUGGGAAAUACACAGGGAGUGAGAGAGAAGAGAAUAAGAGAGUGGUGAAGCGAGGAGGGUACAACACCUCUUUUCCCCCCACAUUGCAGUCAACUGAGUUUAAAGUGAGACUGCGGAACAAAGGCGAACAGUGAAUUCUUUAUCUCAGUGGAUUUCUCCGUGUUUCAUGGUGAACAAUGUCUCCACUAUUAAAGAGCCUGAAACUCUCUGCAGGAGCCUGUUAACUAAUCAAGGAAGCUGGAACAAAGGGACACAUCAAUGAAGAGAUUGUGAGUGAAAGGGAAGUGAGUAAGGAGUGUCAUCAACGUGAUUGAUUAACAGGGCCGAUCUUUUAUUAUGUUUUUCAUUUUGUACAAAUGACAGCAUUGCACUUUUGUCCCUCCUAGGAAAGAUGUCCCUCCACUGUUGCUCUCCCUAAGCUGUCUUCUUUUUCCUCUUUCCUAUAAAUGUGUUUUUGUAAGUCUUUCCUUUCGCACAGAAUGGGAACAUGACCCCCCCAUGCACCCCCAAGAGCAUAUACAAUCAUCAAAAGGGUGCAAGUAAUGGAAUCAAUUUUAAUAUCUUUACCGUAACAGUUUAGGAUGCUUGUGGAAAUAUAGCAGACACAGACAUUUGUUGGAUUUUACUACAAAUCCAAAUAUUUAUAUUCAACAUUGUAAGUCUGGAGUCUUAACGUACAUUUAAAUAAAAAAGCAGAGGUGAACGUGGGCAUGUGAUAUGCAAAAUAUGUCAUUAUGUAAUUAUCAACAGUCUUUAUUUCAUAAUCGAGGAAAAAAUGUGUUUGUGGAUGAGCUAGUCUUUGUUUUAGAGAACAUCUCCUGAAACGUUAAAGAAGCCUACCAGAUACAUUGUAAUCUUCAUGUAUCAGUUUCCAAUGUAGCUUUCUUUUACCCGUUGUCCUUUCCAAAGAGAAAUGCAAACAGGCUGGCCGGCCAAACAAAGAGACUUGUCAAUCACCCUUCUGCCUUGAAUGUGUCCCAUCCUGUGUGUGUGUGUGUGUGUGUGUGUAAGCCUGCAUGUGUCAACAACGGCAGAACCAUCAUGUCAGACACCAAAAUGACACUGAUCGCAGUGUGAUGCCCACAACCACACGCACACAUGCACACAGGCGUGCGUGUACACGGCCAGGGGCCAGGUGGCUGCUCCCUGUCAUGACAGCCCCGGACCAGACCACCGACACCCUCGACUCCCCCGACACCUGAGACCACCAUCAGUGCAGCCAACACAGUUUCAGCCAUGCGCAGCCAGCAGUCAUUGAAUACGUUUACCCUGCUUGGAAAUUUGUGAGGAACAUUUGGUUUUUAUAUCAAGAUAUAGACUGUUGUACCAGCCUGGGGUGCAGUUAAGUGCUGUUUUGAUUGUUAUAAUUUAUUUACAGGGGCCUCUUACUGCACACGUGUGCCACUAUUUAUUGAAAUAUGUCACCACAACGUGGCGUUAAAGCACAUAGAUCUGCUAUGUCACUGACCUGGCGUCAGAUACGUCAGGCUGAUCAGCAGACAAAUCAGUAGCAGAGGGGAAUUUUAUUUUCCCUGACGGGACCUCACCAAGAUGCUUCCAUUUCCAUGGGCAAGCACUUGGGUGAGUGUGAGCAAACACCACAUUCAAUCUUGAAAAUAAAACGUAAGAUUAAUGAUGUUAGAGCUCCAAAUGUUAUUUUCCCCGCCCUCUACUUUUGUUUUACUUAUAUGUUUGUCUUGUUAUAAUAGAAAGAAUGACCAGAAAUGACCUUUUCCUCCGUCGUUCCAUCUGUUUCUGCUCCAGAUGCACAGGGACAUUAUAAAGUGAUGAUCCUCUUUCAAUAUUCACCUACAUAAUAGAACUAGUACAUUGAGCGUAGUUGGGUUAAGGUGCAGAGGAUGUGUUAGAGGAAGUGAUUAUCUUCCCGAAGACGACGCAGGCCUAGGGAGGCACUUACAAUUAUUUAUUCAUAAUGCAUCCACUGAAACACAAAUGCACUUUAUUGUCUCAUUCUGCAUCUUAUUUUACCCAUAAACCAGAAAAUGGGGUGGGAUUCUAAUGAAAGAGCCAUGUUAAUAUCAAGGCAGAUAAGGCCUGGCAUGUGUAGAUGGGAGCACUAUGUGGAAACCCAAUCACAAGUUCUUUCAAUCAUUCAAAACCAGAACAAGAGGGAAUGGAUGCAUUUGAAUAUUUUCCUCUACCUGAAGGUAUUAAAACUAUACAAUUUUAAUACCUAUUUAACAUGCAGUUGCUUUUUGUGCUUUGGAUUUUUGCAGUUCUGCAUAAAAGGCAGGCAAGUAAAGUAGGAGUAACUGUGGCAGCCAUGGACAUGACAUGCUUUUUCAACCAUUCCCUGACUUUAAUCGCUGCAUUAAGGUUUUACUCACUGAGUGGGCUGCUCUCUCCCAGCAGUCUAAUUCUGGCUUCCUUCUUUAUUCUGUUUUCUUUGCUCGCUGAAAUGCCAAAGAUACAAGUUUGUAGCUCAUAAUCACAUUACCCCCUUUAAAAAUAAAUAUAUUUUAGUCCAAAAUGCAGAAUACAGUAUGCACGUAUGUACACUCAGCACUUCCGUAAAGUGUUAAGGCAAGGUAACACAGAGUCACCUGCGGUAAAAAAAAUGUUAAACGUGAGAUGAAGAAUGCUCCAGCUCCAGAGUUCACCAAAGUCGGCACUGUGACUGAUAAUACAAUUUGAACAUCUCAUUCAUCAGAAACAUUUGUUCCCUUACAACAUCAGGCCGUUGGUUGCUCCUCUUUCAGGGCCAGUUGGAAUAAACAAAGUAAAAGAAAAAAUUAGUGGUGUUAUGAAUAUUCUGAAAGAGAAUGGAGGAAGAGGGAAGUCAUUCCACCCAUCCACGUUUCUUUAUUUUCCACUCCGCCGAUCACAUUUGAAUAUUUUGAAAGGAGUGCCUCUGUUUGCCUUAUCAUGCAUUAUUCUGAGGCAUUACCUGGGCCUUAACACUGCAAUAAAGAUGCCUGGGAAGUCUCUCUCCCUUUUUCACACAGAUGCACAACAAUAAUAAUAUUCAUACACCACCGGCCUCAAGAAGAGGGCUCUUUCCUUUAACUUUAUAAUCCCUUUAAAGAUGUGCAUGUAGAGGAGGUUUAGCCAGUGUGAAUGAUACCGGGGAUGUCUUUUUUAAAGCCGUGAUACAAUGACAGCUUUUCAGGCCAAUGAAGUAAUACUUUCAGUUGGGAUGUGAAUCCCAACAUUGUGUGUGGAUAACAUUGAGAAUGGUAAGGGAUUAAAUUAUAGGGGAGGACAUUGGCAGCUCUGUUGAAUAAAUGUGACGGCUGCAGGGCUCCGACAUAAAUAUUUUGGAGAGUUCAAAUUAAAUAUAACUGUUUAAUCUUCCUGAAGACAACAAUCAACAUCAAUUUUCCGGGAAUCAAUUCCAAAAGAGAUUUUCCAACCUCUCAGAAAACAUAUCAUAUAAAAGUUUUGUCCGAGAAAAUUUGCAUUACUUGAUAAUGGAAGUCACUGGACUGGAAGGUGCAGCUUAUGUGUAAAUUAAUUCAUUUUAGGAUUCCUUCUUCAACCAGAAACACAAACCAACUCCUUGGACUCUAUUGAUCACCUGACCGACCUCCACACUCGCACAACAUGUAAGACAAGAUGUCACAUUAUUCCUUCAUCAUUAACUUCUUGCAUUAGGCAUACAAUGCCCUCGACAUGUGUGUUUUCCAGUGAUAAAAGAGAACAUUCAGGAUAACAUUGGGAUGAAUGACAGCUAAAAUGUUUUUUUUUUUAUUAUUGAUACAUUUCCACCUGCUACAGUUCAUGUCCUGUCAGUGAAAGGACUGAUUGUAAUUUGUCACAUUUAUUUGUGACAACAAUUUAUUUCUUAUCAUUUAAACAAUAUAAAUCAGAAGAGUAGAAGUAGGCCAUAGCGACAAUAAGGGUAGAUACAGUAAUAGUUAGUAAGGGAAAUAUAAUCUGUAAAUAAAUAAUGAAUACAUCUAAAAACAAAAGAAAGAGGAGGAAAAAGAUGAAAUACGGCCACAAUUAAUCUAUUGUCUGCAUAAAUUCAAAGCACAUCUGACAAUGAUGGGCGGAUUAUUAAAGGUCAGUGAGGAGCUUGGCAGAAGGAUCAUGUACUGCCUUUAAAAGUAUUUUAAUUGACACUAAAUAUUUGGCAAUUUAUUGGAAAAGCCUGUGCAUAUGAUGUAUGUGACUAUUUUCAUUAACUCUUCAGACUUGACCAUGAAUGCAAGCUUUACUGUUGCUAUGCGGAUGCAACCACGUGUUGAAUGUAGCCAUAUUAUUAUGUAUUAUAUAUUGUUUACAUGUUGUUGAUGUGAACAAUAUUAUGCGUUGGCCUUUUAACCUUCAUGUCAAAAGGUUGAGCUGAUCUAAGACCCGAUCGCAUUCUCUGUGGACAUAGUUAAAGGAAAUAAGAGGGUCUCUUGACUUGACCAUGGAUAUUUGUUGCUCGCGGGUUUGCACCUUUAUACACCUUCCUUUUUCCAAAUAAAAACAUGCUUGUGUGACAUUAGUUUUUGAAGAAUAGUGCCCUGGAACCAUGAAUAGAAAUGCAUUUCUCUGCUUCUCUCUGACCCUGAGCCCUGGAGCCCAAAGACAUUUCUACCAAACCCCCUCAAAGGGUCAAAUCUCUAAACCUUUGAAUAAAACCUUUUCUACCUUUCAGAGACGGACGGAUAAAGUGGUGCGGGGGAACGGGCGGAGAGACAGCAAAAAAACGACGGAGAGAGAGAACCAUUCCAGUGUCCUAUAAGCUGUUGUUUGUCUCCUUGAGGUGGCCUGCAGCCCUGAUACUUUUUGUCUUGCCUGUGGACCCGUUCUACCCCCCUUCUCUCUUUCUCCCUCCCUCAAUCUUUCUCACUCUUGCUCCAUCUCCUUCCCCUAAGUCACCCCAUCACCCUCCCUCCCUCUGUGUUCCCCUGCCCCUCUCGCUCCAUCCACUUUUCCCUUCCGAAGGCUAAGGAUUCCAGCGGCCCCUUUGAGAGAAGUGUGUGAAAAUGCACAAUGCAGGUCCCAUGGCGUGCCCACCCCC
ensembl:lncRNA